rnacentral:misc_RNA from 1 species
UCCCCGUUAUCCGGGGCGGUUUCUUUAGAGUGCCCAACUAAAUGAUGGCAACUAAUGGCAAGGGUUGCGCUCGUUGCGGGACUUAACCCAACAUCUCACGACACGAGCUGACGACAGCCAUGCAGCACCUGUGUCCAGGUUCCCUUUCGGGCACACCCCCAUCUCUGGAGGCUUCCUGGCAUGUCAAGGGUAGGUAAGGUUUUUCGCGUUGCAUCGAAUUAAUCCACAUAAUCCACCGCUUGUGCGGGUCCCCGUCAAUUCCUUUGAGUUUUAACCUUGCGGCCGUACUCCCCAGGCGGUCAACUUCACGCGUUAGCUUCGUUACCAAGGAAUUGCUUCCCCGACAACCAGUUGACAUAGUUUAGGGCGUGGACUAC